rnacentral:rRNA from 1 species
UUCCGGUUGAUCCUGCCGGACCCCACUGCUAUCGGGAUAGGACUAAGACAUGCUAGUCGUCCCAGCCACGAGGAGCGUACAGCUCAGUAACACGUGGCUAACCUGCCCUCGGGACGGGAAUACCCCCGGGAAACUGGGGCUAAUCCCCGAUAGGUGAAGAACUCUGGAAUGAGUCUCCGCCCAAAAGACUUAACGCCCAAGGAUGGGGCCGCGACCGAUCAGGUAGUUGGUGAGGCAACGGCUCACCAAGCCUUUAACCGGUGCGGGCCGUGGGAGCGGGAGCCCGGAGAUGGGCACUGAGACAAGGGCCCAGGCCCUACGGGGCGCAGCAGGCGCGAAACCUCUGCAAUACGCGAAAGCCUGACAGGGUUAUUCUGAGUGACUUUCGCUAAGAAAGUCUUUUGACACCUCUAAAAAUGGUGUAGAAUAAGGGGUGGGCAAGUUCUGGUGUCAGCCGCCGCGGUAAUACCAGCACCCCGAGUGGUGUGGAUGUUUAUUGGGCCUAAAGCAUCCGUAGCUGGCUGGACAAGUCCCCUGUUAAAUCCACCGAUUUAAUCGUUGGUGUGCGGGGGAUACUGUUUGGCUAGGGGACGGGAGAGGCCGACGGUAUUUUCGGGGUAGGGGUGAAAUCCUAUAAUCCCGGGAAGACCACCAGUGGCGUAGGCGGUCGGCUAGCACGCGCUCGACGGUGAGGGACGAAAGCUGGGGGAGCGAACCGGAUUAGAUACCCGGGUAGUCCCAGCUGUAAACGAUGCAGGCUAGGUGUUUGGACGGCUACGUGCCGUUCUAGUGCCGCAAGGAAGCUGUUAAGCCUGCCGCCUGGGGAGUACGAUCGCAAGAUUGAAACUUAAAGGAAUUGGCGGGGGAGCACUACAAGGGGUGAAGCUUGCGGUUUAAUUGGAGUGAACGCCGGA